AUUGAACGCUGGCGGCAGGCUUAACACAUGCAAGUCGAGCGGAGAUGAGGUGCUUGCACCUUAUCUUAGCGGCGGACGGGUGAGUAAUGCUUAGGAAUCUGCCUAUUAGUGGGGGACAACAUUCCGAAAGGAAUGCUAAUACCGCAUACGCCCUACGGGGGAAAGCAGGGGAUCUUCGGCCCUUGAGCUAAUAGAUGAGCCUAAGUCGGAUUAGCUAGUUGGUGGGGUAAAGGCCUACCAAGGCGACGAUCUGUAGCGGGUCUGAGAGGAUGAUCCGCCACACUGGGACUGAGACACGGCCCAGACUCCUACGGGAGGCAGCAGUGGGGAAUAUUGGACAAUGGGCGGAAGCCUGAUCCAGCCAUGCCGCGUGUGUGAAGAAGGCCUUUUGGUUGUAAAGCACUUUAAGCGAGGAGGAGGCUACCUGGAUUAAUACUCUAGGAUAGUGGACGUUACUCGCAGAAUAAGCACCGGCUAACUCUGUGCCAGCCGCCGCAGUAAAAC
rnacentral:rRNA from 1 species